AGAGUUUGAUCAUGGCUCAGGACGAACGCUGGCGGCGUGCUUAAUACAUGCAAGUCGAGCGAGGUUACUGUUUUGGAUCCCUUCGGGGUGAAGAAGCUUUAACCUAGCGGCGGACGGGUGAGUAACGCGUGGGUAACCUACCCCAAAGUCCGGGAUAACAGCGGGAAACCGCUGCUAAUACCGGAUGCCUUUACCUUGGGGCAUCUUGAGGUAAAGAGAGGUAACGCUUUGGGAUGGGCCCGCGUCCCAUUAGCUAGUUGGUGAGGUAACGGCUCACCAAGGCGACGAUGGGUAGCCGGCCUGAGAGGGUGGACGGCCACACUGGGACUGAGACACGGCCCAGACUCCUACGGGAGGCAGCAGUAGGGAAUAUUGCGCAAUGGACGGAAGUCUGACGCAGCGACGCCGCGUGAGCGAUGAAGGUCUUCGGAUCGUAAAGCUCUGUCCUUGGGGAAGAAGGUCUUCGGACUUGACGGUACCCAAGAAGAAAGCCCCGGCUAACUACGUGCCAGCAGCCGCGGUAAUACGUAGGGGGCGAGCGUUGUCCGGAAUUACUGGGCGUAAAGGGUGCGUAGGCGGCCCUUUAAGUCGGAUGUGAAAGCCCGCGGCUUAACCGCGGAAUGGCAUUCGAAACUGGAGGGCUUGAGUGUCGGAGAGGGUAGUGGAAUUCCCAGUGUAGCGGUGAAAUGCGUAGAUAUUGGGAGGAACACCAGUGGCGAAGGCGACUACCUGGACGAUAACUGACGCUGAGGCACGAAAGCUAGGGGAGCAAACAGGAUUAGAUACCCUGGUAGUCCUAGCCGUAAACGAUGGGUACUAGGUGUGGGUGGUUUCGAUACCAUCCGUGCCGUAGUUAACGCAUUAAGUACCCCGCCUGGGGAGUACGUGCGCAAGCAUGAAACUCAAAUGAAUUGACGG
rnacentral:rRNA from 1 species